rnacentral:lncRNA from 1 species
GCCACUUGUGGUUGCACAAUCUCUGUUGAUGCCAAAUGAAGGAAGCUUUUAGUUACCAUUAGGGGACAACCAUUUCUCAGUAAAGACCAGCGUCCAAAAGUCUUUAACAAUUGUGCAAUUCAUGUGUGCUCUUCUGAAUUUAAAUUUGGGAUCAUCUUCGUAGCAGAACCAUCUAGCUUAAACAAGUUCAUGUACGCUGGAUGUGGUCUCAUAGAACUGUAGCAACUAUGCACAUAAAUCCAUACUAACCUGACUAUCGAGUACCCAUGAGGGAUCUCAACUUUCACAACUUUUACAACUCAGGGUCGGAUAUUUGGAUUUUAUUAUAACAUAUCAUAACACAGAGAUUGCAGCAGAAAUAAUAUU